rnacentral:rRNA from 1 species
UACGUAGGGGGGCAAGCGUUAUCCGGAUUUACUGGGUGUAAAGGGAGCGUAGACGGUCUUGCAAGUCUGAAGUGAAAGCCCGGGGCUCAACCCCGGGACUGCUUUGGAAACUGUAUGACUAGAGUGUCGGAGAGGCAAGUGGAAUUCCUAGUGUAGCGGUGAAAUGCGUAGAUAUUAGGAGGAACACCAGUGGCGAAGGCGGCUUGCUGGACGAUGACUGACGUUGAGGCUCCAAAGCGUGGGGAGCAAACAGG